UACGGAGGGUGCAAGCGUUAUCCGGAUUCACUGGGUUUAAAGGGUGCGUAGGAGGGCAGGUAAGUCAGUGGUGAAAUCUCCAAGCUUAACUUGGAAACUGCCGUUGAUACUAUCUGUCUUGAAUACCGUGGAGGUGAGCGGAAUAUGUCAUGUAGCGGUGAAAUGCUUAGAUAUGACAUAGAACACCAAUUGCGAAGGCAGCUCGCUACACAUAUAUUGACUCUGAGGCACGAAAGCGUUGGGGAUCAAACAGG
rnacentral:rRNA from 1 species